AAACUCUUCAGCAUUCCGAUAUAGAUCAAGAGUAUGAACUAUCAUAUCGGUAACAACGAACCUACGGAUUCCAGUCUAUAUAGAAAAAGAAAGAAGAGGUAGUUAUUAUCAUACAAAAAGAAACCAAGUAUAAGUUACAUUUACUUACCGGAAGUGGUAUUGCCGGGGGCCAUAAAAACUGAGCAAACAAUCUUUGAUAAUCAUCUUCCAGGACCAUACCCUCAUACAUCAGGAAGGGCUUAACCGAUUCGAGGAAAUGGAUGCCAAACGUGUCUGUUAGCGUAGAAAACUCUCUCAUGUACUGGACCAAGUAUGUCACGGAGAGAGACUCUGCACCAAUCAAGUUCGCAAUGCGACAAG
rnacentral:lncRNA from 1 species